rnacentral:rRNA from 1 species
AUGCUUCUUGUGCCGCAGGGCAUCAAGAUGAAGGAGAUCACGAUGAAGAAGAAGCCGUCGGUUGUCGUCAAUGCUGGCGAGACCGACGAGGAGGUGAUGGCGAGGUUUGCUCGGGAGCAUCCGGAGUACGUCCAAGCCGAGCUGGAGCACUACUGGAAGCGUGAGGCGGAGCAGAAGAAGGAGUACGAGGCCGGUCCCUCGACGGUGAUCCCCAUCGAGUCCUCUUCCGAGGAGGACUGGUGA